GAUGAACGCUGACAGAAUGCUUAACACAUGCAAGUCAACCUGAAUUUGGGUUUUUAACUUAGGUUUGGGUGGCGGACGGGUGAGUAACGCGUAAAGAACUUGCCUCACAGCUAGGGACAACAUCUGGAAACGAAUGCUAAUACCUAAUAUUAUGAUAAUAGGGCAUCCUAUAAUUAUGAAAGCUAUAAGCGCUGUGAGAGAGCUUUGCGUCCCAUUAGCUAGUUGGAGAGGUAACGGCUCACCAAGGCGAUGAUGGGUAGCCGGCCUGAGAGGGUGAUCGGCCACGAGGGGACUGAGACACGGCCCUUACUCCUACGGGAGGCAGCAGUGGGGAAUAGUGGACAAUGGACCGAGAGACUGAUCCAGCAAUUCUGUGUGCACGAUGAAGUUUUUCGGAAUGUAAAGUGCUUUCAGUUGAGAAGAAACAAAUGACGGUACCAACAGAAGAAGUGACGGCUAAAUACGUG
rnacentral:rRNA from 1 species